rnacentral:rRNA from 1 species
CCUACGGGUGGCAGCAGUGAGGAAUAUUGGUCAAUGGACGAGAGUCUGAACCAGCCAAGUAGCGUGAAGGAUGACUGCCCUAUGGGUUGUAAACUUCUUUUAUAUGGGAAUAAAAUGUUCCUAGUGUGGGAUUUUGUAUGUACCAUAUGACUACGGAUCGGCUAACGCGGGACCAGCAGCCGCGGUAAUACGGAGGAUCCGAGCGUUAGCCGGAUUUAUUGGGUUUAAAGGGAGCGUAGGUGGAUUGUUAUGUCAGUUGUGAAAGUUUGUGGCUCAACCGUAACAUUGCAGUUGAAACUGGCAGUCUUGAGUACAGGAGAGGUGAGCGGAAUUCGUGGUGUAGCGGUGAAAUGCUUAGAUAUCACGAAGAACUCCGAUUGCGAAGGCAGCUCACUGGACUGCAACUGACACUGAGGCUCGAAAGUGUGGGUAUCAAACAGGAUUAGAUACCCGGGUAGUC